AUUUCUCCAGCGCUCCGCCUGUGUACACAAAGAGAAGCUAACGUUGGGAAAUAUAUGGAAACAAAUUUGUCAAGUGAGAAGCUGGGAGGUGACCGGUGGAAAAGGUAAAGGGUUGAAGAUGGAAUCUAAUAGAAGAGGAACAGAUCAUGGGAGAGGGGACCAGAGGAAGGCGAGAGGCAGAAAAGAGCAAAGCAGAGGCCUAAUUGAUGAACUGAUGGUCAAUUACGCUCGUUCGCUGCUGUCGUUACUGCGCGGUUGGGAAUCUUUCGGAGGGAAGGGCUCAAAAUCCCCGGCUUUUCCUGCUGUUCGCGACCAAGAUGGAGGUCGAAUCAUUUGGAUAGAGCUGGCGCUCAGUACUCGGUCGGAGAGCUGAUCAGAGCUCUAAGUUUUCGGAUGACUCAGAGUCGGACCGUGGUCAGGUAUGGCAGGGAGAGUUUUUCUUCCUUCUCCCCUCUGCGUGAGAUGUGGGACAUUUGAGAGACUUUGAACUUUUACUGUGCUCAUGGACUUCUUCAUCAAGUUAUGGUAUUGUUGCACUGUUGUAACUAUGUGUUAUAAUUAUGUGGUUUUGUUAGUUUUUUUUCAGUCUUGGUCUGUCCUGUGUUUUGUGAUAUCACACCAGAGGAAAUAUUGUAUCAUUUCUUAAUGCAUGCAUUACUAAAUGACAAUAAAAGAGGACUGCGUGUCUUCAUAAUCUAAA